rnacentral:rRNA from 1 species
AGUGAACGCUGGCGGUAGGCCUAACACAUGCAAGUCGAACGGCAGCACAGUAAGAGCUUGCUCUUACGGGUGGCGAGUGGCGGACGGGUGAGGAAUACAUCGGAAUCUACUUUUUCGUGGGGGAUAACGUAGGGAAACUUACGCUAAUACCGCAUACGACCUACGGGUGAAAGCAGGGGAUCUUCGGACCUUGCGCGAUUGAAUGAGCCGAUGUCGGAUUAGCUAGUUGGCGGGGUAAAGGCCCACCAAGGCGACGAUCCGUAGCUGGUCUGAGAGGAUGAGCAGCCCCACUGGAACUGAGACACGGUCCAGACUCCUACGGGAGGCAGCAGUGGGGAAUAUUGGACAAUGGGCGCAAGCCUGAUCCAGCCAUACCGCGUGGGUGAAGAAGGCCUUCGGGUUGUAAAGCCCUUUUGUUGGGAAAGAAAAGCAGCAGGUUAAUACCCCGCUGUUCUGACGGUACCCAAAGAAUAAGCACCGGCUAACUUCGUG